UCACACACACCUACUGCAUGCAAAAGACCAAUGCAAACUAAACUCUUCCAAGCACAAGCUCAAACACACUUCAACAAUCUAAACUCUUCCAAGCACAAGCUCAAACACACUUCAACAAUCUAAACUCUUCCAAGCACAAGCUCAAACACACUUCAAAUAUAUCAGUUUUCAAUCAGAAAUAAAAAACUCAGUUUGCCCUAAAC
rnacentral:lncRNA from 1 species